CAGUAGCCGCGGGAAUACGAAGGGUGCAAGCGUUAAUCGGAAUUACUGGGCGUAAAGCGUGCGUAGGCGGUUUGUUAAGUCUGCUGUGAAAUCCCCGGGCUCAACCUGGGAAUGGCAGUGGAUACUGGCAAGCUAGAGUGUGUCAGAGGAUGGUGGAAUUCCCGGUGUAGCGGUGAAAUGCGUAGAGAUCUGGAGGAAUACCGGUGGCGAAGGCGGCCCCCUGGACAAAGACUGACGCUCAGGUGCGAAAGCGUGGGGAGCAAACAGGAUUAGAUACCCGAGUAGUCCCUGUCUCUUAUAA
rnacentral:rRNA from 1 species